AGCUCCAGUAGCGUAUAUUAAUGUUGUUGCAGUUAAAAAGCUCGUAGUUGGAUUUCUAGCCGACUUGCUUGUGUCCGCGUCUCUUAUGAGCGUGAGUACCGAUGCGUGUCGUCUAUCCUAUCAGUUUCUCGGGCUUCGGUCCGUUUGACUGGUUCUUUUACUUUGAAAAAAUUAGAGUGUUUAAAGCAGGCUUGCGCAAUGAAUACAUUAGCAUGGAAUAAUAACAUAGGACUUCGGUCUCUAUUUUGUUGGUUUCUAGAACUGAAGUAAUGAUUGAUAGGGAUAGUUGGGGGUGCUAGUAUUCAGCGGCCAGAGGUGAAAUUCUCGGAUUCGCUGAAGACUAACUUAUGCGAAAGCAUUCACCAAGGAUGUCUUCUUUA
rnacentral:rRNA from 1 species